UCUGGAACCUGGUGGCUAAAGAGAGAGUUAACAUACAAAGCCAAACAAAUUGUUGAACAAUCAUGGACCUAAAAGCUAGAAUAGUGCAGAUGAAGUGACCGGCAUAAGGAUCCCUGUUCGAACCCCGGCUCCCCACCUGCAGGGGAGUCGCUUCACAGGCAGUGAAGCAGGUCUGCAGGUGUCUAUCUUUCUCUCCUCCUCUCUGUCUUCCCCUCCUCUCUCCAUUUCUCUCUGUCCUAUCCAACAAUGACGACAACAACAAUAAUAACUACAACAAUAAAACAAGGGCAACAAAAGGGAAUAAAUAAAUAAAAUAAAUA